UGGCUCAGAGCGAACGCUGGCGGAAUGCUUAACACAUGCAAGUCGCACGGGGGCUUCGGCCUUAGUGGCGGACGGGUGAGUAACGCGUAGGAAUGUGUCCGAGGGUGGGGGAUAACGUUGGGAAACUGACGCUAAUACCGCAUAUCCCCUGAGGGGGAAAGCAGAGAUGCGCUCACGGAGCAGCCUGCGUCCGAUUAGCUAGUUGGUUAGGUAAAGGCUGACCAAGGCGACGAUCGGUAGCUGGUCUGAGAGGAUGAUCAGCCACACUGGGACUGAGACACGGUCCAGACUCCUACGGGAGGCAGCAGUGGGGAAUAUUGGACAAUGGGCGAAAGCCUGAUCCAGCAAUGCCGCGUGAGUGAUGAAGGCCUUAGGGUUGUAAAGCUCUUUUACCCGAGAUGAUAAUGACAGUAUCGGGAGAAUAAGCUCCGGCUAACUCCGUG
rnacentral:rRNA from 1 species